rnacentral:rRNA from 2 species
AAACCGUUCAGGGGUAAACCUGAGAAACCCAAAAGAUCGAAUGGGGAGAUUCAUCGUCAACGGCCGCUGGCUCCCGUUGGUUCGCGAUGCCCCGCAACGGACCCUCGCGGUUCGUGUAGCGUGCGGGCACGCAACCUUCGGCGAUUGUUUCGGCGUCGUAGUCGUGCACUUCUCCCCUAGUAGAACGUCGCGACCCGUUGUGUGUCGGUCUACGGCCCGAGCGGUAGCCUGUCGCUUCGCCUCGUGCGUUCGCGACAGACCCUCGGUCGCCCGGCCGGCUGCACGACGGUACUCGCACGGUAUCGGGCCGCAACCAAUCCAUUCUCGAAUGUGUGUGCGUCAGGCCCGCCGCAAGCUCGGUCAGUUUACCCGGAGGCACGGACCUUGUGCCGUCCCCGGGCCUGGCCAGCUGUUGGCAGGCGGUGUCCUCGGACUGGCCAAGCUUCGAAUUACCGGUCGGCGACGCUAUUGCUUUGGGUACUCUCAGGACCCGUCUUGAAACACGGACCAAGGAGUCUAACAUGUGCGCGAGUCAUUGGGACAAUUAAACCUAAAGGCGCAAUGAAAGUGAAGGUCGUCCUUCGACCGGUUGACCGAGGGAGGAUGGGCCGCGUUACUAUGCGGCCUCGCACUCCCGGGGCGUCUCGUUCUCAAUACGAGAAGAGGCGCACCCAGAGCGUACACGUU